GAUCAUUACAGAGAUGAAAGUGCUUAACUGCAUUUUCUUACACAUGUGUUUCUUUUUUGAAAACUUUGCUUUGGUAGGCCUUCUAUAUGGGGCCUGCCAGUAGAUUAAACUCAACCAAAUUUUAUUUAAUGUCAACCGAUUAUUUAAUAGUCAAAACUUUCAACAACGGAUCUCUUGGUUCUCGCAUCGAUGAAGAACGCAGCGAAUGCGAUAAGUAAUAUGAAUUGCAGAUAUUCGUGAAUCAUCGAAUACUUUGAACGCACAUUGCGCCCUUUGGUAUUCCAAAGGGCAUGCCUGUUUGAGCGUCAUUUCUCCUCAAACCCUCGGGUUUGGUGUUGAGCGAUAGCGCUGGGUUUGCUUGAAGAAGCGGAGUAUAAACUAAUGGAUACGGUUUUUCCACUCAUUGGUACAAACUCCAAAACUUCUUCCAAAUUCGACCUCAAAUCAGGUAGGACUACCCGCUGAACUUAA
rnacentral:rRNA from 1 species